rnacentral:ncRNA from 1 species
UGGUCCUAGCUUUAUUAUCAAUUUAAUCUUAACUUACACAUUGCAAGUUUCAGCACACCUGUGAGGACGCCCCUCCACCUAAUCCAGAAGAGAGAGCAGGCAUCAGGCACAGAACUUCUAGCCUAAAACACCUAGCACCGCCACACCCAUAAGGGCAUGCAGCAGUGAUAAACAUUAAUUAUGAGCGACAGCUUGAACUAGUUAAAGACUCUGAGAGCCGGCCAACUUGUGUGCCAGCCGCCGCGGCUAAACCAGGGGCCCAAAUUGACAACUUUCGGCGUCAAGUGUGAUAUUAAGCCAAACUAACAGAUUAGGGUGGAUCAAAGAUCUAGUAGUGACAAGCGGAUCUUAUGGAAAAUCAUGCGCAAAGCAACUCUAACUAUCGCUAGAAUGCACGACAGCUUAGAUACAAACUGGGAUUAGAUACCCCACUAUGCUAAGCCGUAAACUUAAAAUACACCCAACAACGCCCGGGAAUUACGAGCCACGCUUAAAACCCAAAGGACUUGACGGUACCCUAUCCCACUAGAGGAGCCUGUUCUAUAAUUGAUAAUCCCCGUUAUACCUUACCCUUACUGGCCUUUCAGCCUGUAUACCUCCGUCGCAAGCUUACCAUAUGAACGUUGAAUAGUGAGCUUAAUUAAAUAUACCUAAACACGUCAGGUCAAGGUGCAGCUCAUGUAGGGGAAGAAAUGGGCUACAAUUUCUACUUUAGAAUAAACUAACAGUCACAUGAAACUGUGACUCAAAGGCGGAUUUAGCAGUAAGUGGGGAAUAGAGAGCCCCCCUUAACCUGGUAUCUGGGUUGCGUACAAACCGCCCGUCACCCUCUUCAACAUCACCCGCCCAAUAUUUAAUACUAAACUUAACCCAAGAAGAGGCAAGUCGUAACAUGGUAAGUGUACUGGAAAGUGCACUUUG